GGACGGCUCAUUAAAACAGCUAUAAUCUACUCGGAAUUGUAUCCUAAACGGAUAUCUGCGAUAAUUUUGGAGCUAAUACGUGCACUUAACGGAUGCUUUACGGCGUCUGGCAUUUAUUAGAUUAAGGCCAAUCGGGGCAACCCGCUUUGGUGAACUCUGAAUAAAUUUGCGGAUCGCAUGGUCUUGUACCGGCGACAGUUCGAUCGAGUAUCUGCCUUAUCAACUUUCGAUGGUAGUUUAUUCGACUACCAUGGUUGUGACGGGUAACGGAGGAUAAGGGUUCGACUCCGGAGAGGGAGCCUGAGAAACGGCUACCACAUCCAAGGAAGGCAGCAGGCGCGUAAAUUACCCACUCUCAAUGCGAGGAGGUAGUGACUAUCAAUAACGAGGCAGAUCUCUAUGAGGCCUGCUAUUGGAAUGAGCACAAUGUAAAUGC
rnacentral:rRNA from 1 species